UACGUAGGGGGCAAGCGUUGUCCGGAAUCAUUGGGCGUAAAGAGCGCGUAGGCGGUCCGGUAAGUCGGUUGUGAAAACUGGGGGGCUCAACCCUCAGAGGCCGACCGAUACUGUCGGGCUAGAGUCCGGAAGAGGCGAGUGGAAUUCCUGGUGUAGCGGUGAAAUGCGCAGAUAUCAGGAGGAACACCAAUGGCGAAGGCAGGUCUCUGGGCCACUACUGACGCUGAGAAGCGAAAGCAUGGGGAGCGAACAGG
rnacentral:rRNA from 1 species